UGUCCUGCUGCUGCUGCUGCUAAGCAGGACUUUGGGCCAGCGGCCACCCAUCAUGACAUUGAAGCUGGCCCCAGAGAUCCCAGGAUAGAGGCCCCAGGGCAGCAUUGCCUGCUCCACCUCCACAGAGAAACAUCCCUGUGAGCUUGGGGUGUGGAGAAGACGAGGGAGGAGCCCUCCGUGGAUGCCUUGGACUUGGAGGUGUCUGCAUGGAUGAAGGCUCAGAUGGAAUCACCCCAGUUCUGCUGCUGCAGUAGCUGUGUGGCCGUGGGCAGGUUCUUCAAGCUGUGCCUCAGUCUCCCUGUCUGUAAAGGGGGACAUCAUGUACCCUUGGAGCAGGGUUGAGGAACAGAAGACAGAGACACUGGAGGAGGCCACAUAAACACAGAGGCAGAGACUGGGGCCAUGUGGCCGAAAGCCAGGAGCACCGAGGACUGCCACGGCCACCACGGAGAGAGGCCUGGGACAGACGCCGCUGCAGAGCCUCCAGAGAAUGCAGCCAGCCUGCAGCUCGCGUGCAGCCUUCCGGCCCCCUGAACUGUGAGAAGAUGCAGUUCUAUUUUAAGCUGCUCUGUUUGGGCACCUUGUUACAGCAGCCCCAGGAAGCUACUCAGUGGGCGUUUGUGGUCAGCCGCUGAUCAUUCCCAAGGUCACGGCCCCAUCCUAAGCCCUGGGACCUGUGCACGUGACCUGUUUUGGAAAAAGGGCUUUUGCAGAUGUAAUUAGCUUAAGGAUCUUGAGAUGAGAAGAUUAUUCUGGAUUACCGUGGGCCCCAAAUACCAUCUUAAGUGGCUCCGCAAAAGAUCUGGCACACGGAGGAGGCUGUGUGACCAGAGGAGAGACCGGAGUGAUGUGGCCACAAGCCAAGGGCACCGGGAGCCCCCAGAGGCCGGAAGAGGAGAGGAAGGAGCCUCUCUAGGAAUGGCCUGCUGACAGCAGCCUCCAGAAUGGGGAGGGAAUCAGGUCUGUGCUGUCAUACUUAGGAGUGUCUUACGGCAGCCUCAGGAAACAGACGCAGUUUCCCAUUCACAGCCUGGCCUCUGUCCCCAUCUGGGGGUUUCCCCACAGCCUGGCCUCUCCCUGUUGCCCAGGCUGUCCCCAUAGCCAGGUCUCUCCCCAUAUCCUGGCGUGUCCCUGCAGUCUGGCUUCUCCCCACAGCCUGGUGUCUUCCCAUAGCCUGGAGCCUUCUCACAGCCUGGAGUCUCCCCUGCAUCCUGGGGUCUCCCUGCAGUCUGGCUUCUCCCCAUAUCCUGGGGUCUCCCUGCAGCCUGGGGCCUUCUCAUAUGCUGGGGUCUUCCCGCAUCCUGGGGUCUCCCAUAUCCUGGGGUCUCCCUGCAGCCUGGGGCCUUCUCACAGCCUGGGGUCUCCCCACAUCCUGGGAUCUCCCCGUAUCCUGGGGUCUCCCCAUAUCCUGGGGUCUCCCUGCAUCCUGGGGUCUCCCUGCAGUCUACCCAUGGUGCCAGGGCAGCUCUUCCUCCUGACGUGUGGGGGGCCCUGGGGUGCAGAGAAUAAACUCCACCCAUCGGAUGUGAAUUCCAGCAGCCCUGAGGUUGGGUGAGUUUCCUGGAGCAGUGGGCGAGGGGUCAGGGAUGCAGUUUGCUGACUGUCCAGCUCAGCACGCCCAGGGAGCUGGCAGGGUUCCCUGACCCCGGGCAGCAGGUGGAGGCUGAGACAAAGGCCAAGCCAGCUGGAGGCUUUAGGGAGACGCACUGGGUCCACUCCACAGGCAGCAGGACCCCAGGCGCACUGUGGGCAUUUGAGGAGUGGGUGUCAGGGUGACCAGAAGGAGCCAGGGUGGAGGUCGCAGGGUGUCAUCUUGGUGGGCAGAGCCUCGGGGCCCUGGGGUGGAGGGAGUGAGGCUGGAGAGCCUGGCUGGCUGUGCCGGACGCCUAACACGGUCCCGGAGAUGGCACUUCUCGCACGGACGAGGGUGGGCGACGCGGGAACAGACUGCCCGUAAUCGGGUUCCAGGUCCAAUAAAGGUAAACCUCGAGGCGGAAAGGACCUAGACGCAGGUGAACACGGUCCUCCGUGUGUGAGUGCAUGUGUGUGUUGUAUGUGUAAGCGUGUGGCCAUGUGUGUGGUGCUGGAGCCCAAAGCCUGUCCACGGCAGCCCAUUGGUGGGUCCGGCCCUGCCUGUGGAUUCAGCUCUCCACUGCAAAGCAAUAUGCAGUGUGUGAAACGGCAACACAGAUCGUGGCACCACCAUGAGCCUCACUGUUAGAUUUGGAUUGGAAUCCCUCCCUCUCUCCCGCUUUAAACUGUGGGUCCUUGGGAAAGUUACCUGACAUUUCUGAUUUUCACAUUCUUACCUGUAAACCCUCCCAGAGUUGAAAUGAGCCGUGUGGGAAUGGGGGUGGGGAUGGGGAGGCGCGCAGUCACCCUCGCCUUCCUUUUCUUUCUCUCGGUAAUUGUGUUCUUCUAUGUCAAAGGAAAAGAAUAAAACUGGAAAAUUAUUUGGGGGAAAAAGAAAAAGACACACAUGCAAGUGCCACAGGAACCUGCUGGGGGAGAGAUGCUCUGUGGCCUUCGAAGUGUUUCAUAACGUCUCUGCAGCAGCCACAUUCCCCAUGCUCAGCAGCGGCUCACAGCCUGGAUGGCAGUGCGGUGUAGACAUUUGAGCUGUGGGCAGGACUCUUCCCGGUCCUCAUGGCUGAGCACACAGUGCCGGGCCAGGUGGUGCACACUGGGGGACCAUGGGCCGGGCUGGUCCUGGCUCUGCACUGUCCCUGUGACCCUCGGGAUGUUCCUCAGCAUCUUUUGGCGAUGGUUCCUUUCCUGUAGGAUGCGAGGCCGACAGCAUCUGCUGCUAGGAGUUGUGAGGACACGUGAGUUCAUUUCAGUUGGGUGCAGCGCUGGCCUAGUAAUCUCACUGACCCUUGGUCGCUCAGCCAGUGACUGUGCCCACCUGCCACCAUCAUAAGAUGGCGGACUUGGGGGUCAGGAGAGCCCUUCCAGGACUGCAGAAGCUGGUCCUUGGGGGUCUCGCAGCAGAUCCUGGGGGCGUUCCCAGUAUGGGUGCAAUGUACAUGGGGGGCUCAGGACGGGAGGCCCAUGCCAGCCCCUGGGCCUCCAGAGCUGGCAGAAGGCACAGCCCUGCAUGGCCAAGGGCGCUGGGCUGCGUGGAGAAUGUGCGGGUUCUGUUGUUUUGCCAGCUUUAGCAGUUUACCCAACCUAACAAAAAAAAAGGAUAUGCAACUGGGACAGCAUGUGGCCCACGAAGCCUCAAAUAUUGCCUCUGGCCCUUCACAGAACACGUGUUCUAGAAAGGAAAUCCUAUGCUCGUGGGCUAGGGGCUUGCUGGGUGGGGAGAGGGGUUCAAAACGUGGUUUGUCACUUCCUAUGAGGGUGAUCCGACAGGACUUCGUGGAGACGGUGGCGUUUAAGUGGCCUAAGAAGAACUGGAAGGAUUCAGAGGAGCGGAGGGACGUGGCCUGGUGGGCAGAAGUCAUGGCUGGGUGUCGCAGGCUCUGUGCAGCUCUGACAGCUGCAAUGCAGGCAGGCACCGCCCCCCCCCCCCCCAAUGCUUUACGGCCAUCGGGUCUGCAAGUUAUAAACUUGGUUACCCCCAGAACGUUGUUUAAACAGUACUGUGUUCUAGAACAUGCUGAGAUAGCAUUUAUGCAACUGAUGCCAAGGUGUGGAACAGGUUAGUCUGGCUUUUUCCUCAACAAUCCAGGAGGAGGACAGGGAGAAGGCAGCAUUGUUCCUGAGCGGGUGAGGCCAAUUUCAUCCUGAGUGAUAGUGACAGUAAUAACUGAUAAGAAAUGAAAUCACAGCUUUUCACACGCAGAGCCUGACUAAUGGCUGACCCUUCCUCCAUCUCUGGGUGCUCAUGCUGGAGAGCGAUGGGCCCUCCCUCCACUGCCGGGGGGGGACGUGCUGGAGAGUGACAGGCCCUACUUCCAAUCCUCGGUGUUUCUGCUGGAGAGCAAGGGGCCCUCCCUCCUCUCCUUGGUGCACGUGCUGGAGAGUGACGGGCCGGCAGUUCACGCCUCGUGCUCCUGCUGGAGAGCGAUGGGCCCUCCCUCCAAUCCUUGGUGCACAUGCUGGAGAGUGACAGGCCCGCAGUCCACUCCUGGUGCUCCUUCUGGAGUGACAGGCUCUCUCUCCACUCCGUGGUGCACGUGCUGGAGAGUGAC
rnacentral:lncRNA from 1 species